rnacentral:rRNA from 1 species
UACGUAGGGGGGCAAGCGUUGUCCGGAUUUAUUGGGCGUAAAGAGCGUGUAGGCGGUUUGGUAGGUCCGCUGUGAAAACUCGAGGCUCAACCUCGAGACGCCGGUGGAAACCAUCAGGCUAGAGUCCGGAAGAGGAGAGUGGAAUUCCUGGUGUAGCGGUGAAAUGCGCAGAUAUCAGGAAGAACACCCGUGGCUAAGGCGGCUCUCUAGUACGGUACUGACGCUGAGACGCGAAAGCGUGGGGAGCGAACAGG